CAAUAGCGUAUAUUAAAGUUGUUGCAGUUAAAAAGCUCGUAGUUGGAUUUCUGGUGGGAGCGAUCGGUCUGGCGCUUAGCGCGAGUACUUGCAUCGUCUCCGGCCAUCCUUGGGGAGAGUCUGUCUGGCAUUAGGUUGUCGGGCAGAGGAUCCUCAUCGUUUACUGUGAAAAAAUUAGAGUGUUCAAAGCAGGCUUAUGCCGUUGAAUAUAUUAGCAUGGAAUAAUAAGAUAGGACUUUGGUACUAUUUUGUUGGUUUGCGCACCAAAGUAAUGAUUCAUAGGGACAGUUGGGGGUAUUCGUAUUCCGUUGUCAGAGGUGAAAUUCUUGGAUUUACGGAAGACGAACUACUGCGAAAGCAUUUACCAAGGAUGUUUUCAUUAA
rnacentral:rRNA from 1 species